AUCAUUGAAGAAUAUUGGGAAAAUUCAAGUACUAUAAUGUCAUACUCUCAGCUACAGGUAGCUUCAUUGAACUAGAUCUUCUUCUAUCAGGAAAAGUGUCCUCUUCAGUAUCUUAGAAUUUAUUGAAUUACUUUAGAAAUGUGACUCUUACUUUGGAAGUUUAAUGUUGAUACAAAAGGCGUGAUAUAUGCUUUACAACAACAAUUUAUCUUUGAGUACUUCAUUGUCUUGAUAAUCAAUUAAUACAAUCUGACCAUCAUUGGAUUACUUGAGCAAUCUACAUGUAUAAGUAAUGACAAUAGAAUUUAAGUACACUAUGUAUCAUAGGAAGAGGAAUAUAUCUUUCAAGCAUGAUUUAGAUAAAAUCGACUGCGUUAAUUGGCGAAGAGAAAAAGAAAGGAUAGAGGAAAUUGAUCAACAGACUGUGAAUUUUGAAGCGUUUAUGAGAAAACUUGCAGUUUCUAAUAAAAUAUUCAAUGUAAAGUAUUUGUUACAAUAUUCAGAUAGGAUGAGGAAAAACUGAAUCUGUAUAAUUAUUCAUAGCUUAUUGACCAAUUAUACGACGAGUUCAUUCAGGAUAUUAGAGGUAACUCGAGGUGUAGUAAAUGUGAGAAUUUAUUAAGAACGGUAUAUCUGGUGUACGACACAUUUGCACAUGUUAAAUUAAUUAAAUAAAUAUAAAAAUCAUGCGAAAUCCUAAAUGAAACGUUAGCCAGCCAACUGUGUCAUUAAAAGCAUCUUCUUCUUUCUUUUUUCAAUUAUUUUAUCCUUGUUGUAUUUUAUUCCUUUCGCGUAACGACUUCUAUGAAUAUGAACGUGUCAUGAUAUCCGAUAUGAUUUAUAACUUUGGUUAAGAAAAAUAUAUAUAUCUAUUUUGAACAGACGCAUGACCCAACGCUAAUUGCCUCGAACUUGUAUCAGAAAAAUAAAACGAAAUUUGUUGACACGUACCGCCACACAAUUCAGUCUAAAGAUAUAUAGAUCGCUAUCUUUAACAUUCAUUUCAUAACACACAUGCCAAACUUCGAAACCUAACCAAAGAGUCCCCUGACAAUUAACUGGAAAUGUUCAAAUAAAAGUGUGGAAGUUGUGUAUGUCUUAAAAAUAUGAUCGCAUUUUUCUGAUAAAUUAUUCAGAAUUUCAUUAUACAAGUGGAAGUCCAAGUAACAACUACGUAUCGCUAGACUUCAAAGUUCUAUGCUUCUAUUAAAAUUUAAAGUAAUUAGAAUUAACUAUAAAUAGAUUAAGAAAGAUAUUACAUAUAAAACAUCUAAAGCAUAUUAUUUGUUAUAAUAUGUAGUAGGUGGAAUGGAUCUCUGUUUG
rnacentral:misc_RNA from 1 species